GACGAACGCUGGCGGCGUGCUUAACACAUGCCAGUCGAACGGAAAGGCCCUGCUUUUGUGGGGUGCUCGAGUGGCGAACGGGUGAGUAACACGUGAGUAACCUGCCCUUGACUUUGGGAUAACUUCAGGAAACUGGGGCUAAUACCGGAUAGGAGCUCCUGCUUCAUGGUGGGGGUUGGAAAUUUUCGGCGGUUGGGGAUGGACUCGCGGCUUAUCAGCUUGUUGUUGGGGUAGUGGCUUACCAAGGCUUUGACGGGUAGCCGGCCUGAGAGGGUGACCGGCCACAUUGGGACUGAGAUACGGCCCAGACUCCUACGGGAGGCAGCAGUGGGGAAUAUUGCACAAUGGGAGGAAGCCUGAUGCAGCAACGCCGCGUGCGGGAUGACGGCCUUCGGGUUGUAACCCGCUUUCGCCUGUGACGAAGCGUGAGUGACGGUAAUGGGUAAAGAAGCACCGGCUAACUACGUG
rnacentral:rRNA from 1 species